rnacentral:rRNA from 1 species
CAGUCGCCGCGGGAAUACGUAGGUGGCAAGCGCUGUCCGGAAUUAUUGGGCGUAAAGGGCUCGCAGGCGGUUUCUUAAGUCUGAUGUGAAAGCCCCCGGCUCAACCGGGGAGGGUCAUUGGAAACUGGGAAACUUGAGUGCAGAAGAGGAGAGUGGAAUUCCACGUGUAGCGGUGAAAUGCGUAGAGAUGUGGAGGAACACCAGUGGCGAAGGCGACUCUCUGGUCUGUAACUGACGCUGAGGAGCGAAAGCGUGGGGAGCGAACAGGAUUAGAUACCCCAGUAGUCCCUGUCUCUUAUAC